GGGUUGCUGCAUCCUUAGGCGAGGUUCUGCCAUCCGUGGGGCUGGACUCGGGCGUGAUGAUCCCAUAUGAGCUGACCCCAUAGGAGCUGCUGACCCCAUAGGAGCUGACCCCAUAGGAGCUGGCAUCCUUUGUGCAGGCUGUGCCAUCCGUGGGGCUGGACUGGGGUGUGCUGACCCCACA
rnacentral:lncRNA from 1 species